rnacentral:rRNA from 1 species
GACGAACGCUGGCGGCGUGCUUAACACAUGCAAGUCGAACGGAAAGGCCCUGCUUUUGUGGGGUGCUCGAGUGGCGAACGGGUGAGUAACACGUGAGUAACCUGCCCUUGACUUUGGGAUAACUUCAGGAAACUGGGGCUAAUACCGGAUAGGAGCUCCUGCUGCAUGGUGGGGGUUGGAAAGUUUCGGCGGUUGUGGAUGGACUCGCGGCUUAUCAGCUUGUUGGUGGGGUAGUGGCUUACCAAGGCUUUGACGGGUAGCCGGCCUGAGGGGGUGACCGGCCACAUUGGGACUGAGAUACGGCCCAGACUCCUACGGGAGGCAGCAGUGGGGAAUAUUGCACAAUGGGCGGAAGCCUGAUGCAGCAACGCCGCGUGCGGGAUGACGGCCUUCGGGUUGUAAACCGCUUUCGCCUGUGACGAAGCGUGAGUGACGGUAAUGGGUAAAGAAGCACCGGCUAACUACGUG